AUUGAACGCUGGCGGCAGGCCUAACACAUGCAAGUCGAGCGCGAAAGGCUUUCGGGCUGAGUAGAGCGGCGGACGGGUGAGUAACGCGUAGGAAUCUACCUGGUAGUGGGGGACAACUUGGGGAAACUCAAGCUAAUACCGCAUACGCCCUAAGGGGGAAAGCGGGGGACCUUCGGGCCUCGCGCUAUCAGAUGAGCCUGCGUAGGAUUAGCUAGUUGGUGAGGUAAAGGCUCACCAAGGCGACGAUCCUUAGCUGGUCUGAGAGGAUGAUCAGCCACACUGGGACUGAGACACGGCCCAGACUCCUACGGGAGGCAGCAGUGGGGAAUAUUGCGCAAUGGGGGCAACCCUGACGCAGCCAUGCCGCGUGUGUGAAGAAGGCCUUCGGGUUGUAAAGCACUUUCAAUGGGGAAGAAAAGCGUAGCGUUAAUAGCGUUGCGCCGUGACGUAC
rnacentral:rRNA from 1 species